rnacentral:rRNA from 1 species
GUCCACGCCCUAAACGAUGUCAACUAGUUGUUGGUAGAGUAAAAUCUAUGAGUAACGCAGCUAACGCGUGAAGUUGACCGCCUGGGGAGUACGAUCGCAAGAUUAAAACUCAAAUGAAUUGACGGGGGCCCGCACAAGCGGUGGAUUAUGUGGAUUAAUUCGAUGCAACGCGAAAACCUUACCUGGCCUUGACAUGUACCGAAUUUGGGAGAGAUUCCUUAGUGCUCGAAAGAGAACGGUAACACAGGUGCUGCAUGGCUGUCGU